UGGUUAGCGCCCUGCGCUGGCGCCGUCUGUUCAAACGCGAUGUGAUUGGCUGCCUCCCCGCGCAGCCGUUUGAAAAGUUGAGGCGCGCAUUUAGCGCGAGCGCCGCCUUGUUGUUGUUGUUAGCACCGGUUAGCACCUGGAGCUAGCUAGCUAGCUAGCUAGCUAGCGAGCGAGCUGAGUCACUCUGACAAGACUCGAAGCUUUUCCCAAAGAAAGAGAGUGAAGACGACAGGUGAAGGUGAAACGAGAGGAGAUGGAGUUUUAUCUCCCGUGUGGUUGAAGCAGCAGAGGAGUCAGGACGUGAGCACAAACUCGGGUCGCUGUUCCAGGUUGCCGGUGCCUGUCCACACCACUGUGAUGACGGAGAGAGAAAACAGCCCUGAUGUACGAUUCCUGGUCUGUCACGACAGCUUUGUAUCAGUGUAACUUGGAAAGUGGCCUGGAGUUUGUUGAUGGCACCAUGAGCGGAAUUAGACGGCUGCCGCUGCCAAAUGAGGAUGCUGCGACAGAGGCCGGGAAAAUACCUUUAAUCCCAGACAAACAAGCAUCUUUGGCUGAUGUUUGAAGGAAAAUCUCGCAUUGUGCUGGAGCGGCCACUGACUGCCUCCCAUCAAGGACAGAGUCACCUUCCUCCGGAGGAGAAUCCAGUCCUCUGGGAGUCACUGUGGCUUGUGAGUCUACCGCCAGAACUAGGUCCUCUUCAAACUGUCAAUAACGUCUUGUGAGAAAAGGAUCCUCGGUGAUGGCUGAUGGAUACGCUCACACCUCCGAGAGAAGUGUGCCUGAAGCUCUCAGACACUGUGUCAGUAUUGAAAUGUUUCUGGGCUGUCACAUCUCACCACCUCCUUAGCCCUAAUGUGAUCGAUUGGGACCGACGCAGAGCCAUAACGUGCUCCUCUACAGAGCACUUUCAUAGUAACAUUUCAGGCCCAGUUGAACCUUACCUCCCCUGGGCCAUUAAAUGAAAGACUGGACCUCAAGUGGAUCUCUGAGUCUGGUCCAUCCCUGAGCUUACAGGCAAGUUAAUGACAGAAAUUGUACAUGUCAGUACUACCAGAGAGCCCAAGGAUUAAAUAAUGUGCAUGUAAUAGUGAGAUCUGAGGUCCUGGCCUGGAUGUGCUAAGAACAUUUGCAGUACCACUUUAAUGACCAAAAGGAAAGAGCCGAGUCUGAGACUCCUGCCUGGGAGGACAUGUCAGGCCUUUCAUGGGAACCAUUUUUAAUUGCAACCAAAAAAUGUCUAUUAGUGAAGUCUCCCUUAGGCAGAUACUGUAUCCAUUAUAGAGGUCAAACUUUUAGGUUGGAAAAUAUCAUUAGAUAGAUUUUAUCAAUAUAUCAUUAUUGUUAUUAUUAUCAUUUAACUACUUAUGUACUCGUACUAUACUAUUGUUCAGCAUUUUUCAGCCCAAAUAUUUGUGUAGUUGUUGCACUGCAGUCGUUUAUCUGACUAACCUCCUGAAAGCUUCUUCGAACUUAUUGCAGAAUAUAGAAUGAACUGUUUAUA